rnacentral:rRNA from 1 species
CUACGGGGGGCACCAGUGAGGAAUAUUGCACAAUGGGGGGAACCCUGAUGCAGCAACGCCGCGUGGAGGAUGACGCAUUUCGGUGUGUAAACUCCUUUUAUAUGUCAAGAAAAUGACGGUAGCAUAUGAAUAAGCACCGGCUAACUCCGUGCCAGCAGCCGCGGUAAUACGGAGGGUGCAAGCGUUACUCGGAAUCACUGGGCGUAAAGGACGCGUAGGCGGGUUGGAAAGUCAGGUGUGAAAUCCUACAGCUUAACUGUAGAACUGCACUUGAAACUUCUAAUCUAGAGUAUGGGAAGGGGAGAUGGAAUUAGUGGUGUAGGGGUAAAAUCCGUAGAUAUCACUAGGAAUACCUAAAGCGAAGGCGAUCUCCUGGAACAUUACUGACGCUAAGGCGUGAAAGCGUGGAGAGCAAACAGGAUUAGAUACCCUCGUAGUC